rnacentral:tRNA from 1 species
GUCUCAGUAGCACAGUGGUUAAAGCGCCGCCCCAGCUUAGCGCGAGACGCGGGUCCGAAUCCCGCCUGAGAUG